UACGGAGGGUGUAAGCGUUAAUCGGAAUAACUGGGCGUAAAGCGCGCGUAGGUGGUUGAGUCAGUCAGAUGUGAAAGCCACGGGCUUAACCUGGGAACUGCACCUGAUACUGCUUAACUAGAGUACGGUAGAGUGCAGUGGAAUUUCCUGUGUAGCGGUGAAAUGCGUAGAUAUAGGAAGGAACACCAGUGGCGAAUGUGACUGCCUGGACUGAUACUGACACUGAGGCGCGAAAGCGUGGGUAGCAAACAGG
rnacentral:misc_RNA from 1 species